rnacentral:lncRNA from 1 species
ACAAUGUAGUAAAUGGCUUAUUGUGCAUUAUGUCUAGGUGGUGAGCAUUCUAGCAAAAGUAAAGAGAUAGUACCCGAGGAAUCAAGAAUCGGAGUACUUGGAAUUCGACUCCCGAAAUCGUGAGUAACCUUACUAUCAUCUUAAUUAUCUAGAGUAGUUUUUAUCCGAAUUUGUGAUUUUAUGGAAAAUGAGUUUAAAUGAUUAAUUUUUCAGUUUUAUAAACAAAAUGUGAUUUAAUGAAAUAAUUUCAUAAAAUUGUUUUAAAAUUGAAUGAUGGCUUUUCAAAGAGAGUAAUUGGAGACCAUUUGAUGUAUUGUGAAUUUAUGGUUCUAAUUGAUUGGCUUAUGACAAUAUUGGCAUGAAUGGCUGAAUUGGUAUUUGUGUUGAAAUGUAUAAACUAUUGUUUGCUUUGAUAGGCUGGAUAAUGAUAAAAUUGCCAUGUCAUGCUGCUGAAUUUUUAUUGUAUGGUGGGAUAUUGAUUAGCUUACUACAGUGGGCAGGUUUUCGUGGACCAGCCUAUUAGAGGGGCACGGUAAACCCCGUUAUAUCUUACCUCAGUAUGAGAGGCGCGAGUGGAUAACUCCUGAGGUUAACACUUUAGUGUUCACUUCACGCCAAACCACCUCAUGAUGAUGAACUCCGCUAACGCCAAGGAAUGGCUAUGUUUUUAAAAUAAAAACAUGAUUUAUGCGUACAUAACUUUUUACCAGCCUUGGCGAACUCGGUUGGGAUAGCCCUUGAUCAAGGCAUCCCUGAUAACUGGGUAUGAAAAUGAUUUUUAGCACGAGCCAAAGUUUUAAUAAAUUCAUAAGCCAUGUUGAUUACUUGAUUUAUAUGAAUUGAUUUUAUUUGAUUGAAAUGAGUUGAAAGGUGAUGAAUUAUAGUAUAUUAAACUAUUUUGUCUGUCUCCAUUUACUCGACUUUAGAUAUUUUAGAUGGUAUCUGUUUACUCACUAAGAUUAUAUAAUAUCACCACCUUCCUUUCCACCCAUUUCAGGCUCAGAAUAGAUUGUAGAUAACUGAUAUCGUCGAGGACUACAGUUGGAUUUGCCACAUCCAAAAACUGUAGGUUCAUUUCUUUUGAUACUUUUAGUCAUUCAUGGGCUCACGUGUCACUGUAAAUUAAAUUUUAUACUUUGGUUAUCUGUAUUACAAUAUAUAUGAAUUUAUUUUGCUUUUACGCUGUAAAAAAAUUAUUUAUGCAGUGUUCUAAAAAUAUUAUUUUAUGAAAAAAUUGAAUAUUUUAUUCAAUAUUUUCAUUUUAUUCUAAUAAUCAUAAUUUUAUUUUAAAUGAAGGUUUUAGAUGUUUAAACUUAUUUUUCAUCAUGAAUUAUGUGUUUUAUACUUGCAUACUACAUUUUUAGCUAGUUUCGAAAUUUUUAGAAAAAAUGACCAAAAUACCCCUAUGUAGUUGUAAUUUCUCUUUGACUGUUUUUUGAACUGAAAUUGGUUCAUAUCACUUUAAAACAUGAUUUUAGUAACUAAUACUCACAGGGGAAGCGAGAAAAACUAAUGUUAAGCCUUGCGAGGUUUCAAUUAACAUUUCGGAUAAUGAAUGUCUAUCGGGACGUCACGGUAGUUGUCACGGGCUCGUUGGGAGUUCCGUGUCGUGACAAAAUGUGUGCCGGGGAACAAGCCCUUGAUAAAAUGUUUUGAUGUUGUGAAAAUGUGAAAUGUGUAAAAGGACGAACCUAUGUGCUCCUAUGUUAUGUUGAUAUAUAUAUAUACGAAUAAUGUUGUGUAAUGAUAUUGACCUGGCUAUGUGUGAGUAGGAGUUCGCAAAAGUCGAUGAUGACCCAGCUAAGUGUGAAUGGGAGUGUACAUAAGCCGAUGAUGACCGAGUAUGUGUGAGUAGGAGUGCGCAUAAGCCGUUGAUGACCCAGCCAUGUGCUAGUAGGGAGUGCAUAUGAGCUAAUGAUGAUGGGAUGGUGUGCAUGAUGAUGGAUAUAUAUAUAUAUAUAUACAAACAUAGAUAUGUGUGUUAUAGAAAGUUCAUGAGUAUGGUAUAUGGUUUUAUACAUGUGAAUCUUGCAUGUUGAACUUUAGAAAUUUCUAAACAUGUUCAAGUUGAUUUUGUCUUUAUAGCUAAAUGGCCAUCUCUUGAGGGAAUGAAAACUUGUUGUUGAUGUCCUGUUUCUCACUACAGCGAGAUUCAUUCUCGCUGAAGCGAAAAACUCUCUGGUUUGGAGGGUUUUGUUGGCCUGAUUCUCACUACAGCGAGAAAGUUGCUAAAGCUUCUCGCUGCAGCGAUAAACUAUGUUUAUAGCUUGAAUUUCACUACAGCGAGAAACUUUCUGUCUUGCUUAGUAUCUUGUUCGAUUGCUGCCCUGUUUUCCACGUCCUUGGUACCAUAGUUGAGUAUGGACUUCCAACAUUAAGGAAUUAAUGAAUUAAAUUUGAAAUGAGGAGGUUUGGUGAGAAACCCUCUGCCAGCUAAGAAACCUUCGGCUAAUGAAUAAUGGGAGUCCAAUUUUGCUGCAACGAUAAUGCCUUUCCACUGCAGCGAGGACUCGUUGUUUGCUUGACUUGAUUUGCAUGAAUGCUAUUAAAGUUUUCACUCUUCAAAUCCUUUGUUGAGCAUGGACCUUUUUCAUCAAGUGAUUUACUCAUUUAGGGUUUACAUGAGGGGUUUUAAUAAGAAUGAAACUAAAUUGCAUUGUUUUGAAAAUAAAUGCAUUAUGAUUUGUUUAAACUUUCCUUCUUGAUUACUUGUUCUCUUCUUAUGUUCACUCACUGAGUUUAUACUUACCGUUUUCAACUUCAUGUUUUCAG